rnacentral:lncRNA from 1 species
UUUAAACUGACUGAAUUCUGUAGGCAAACACAAAGACACCGGAUUCUUAAUGUCGUCGCUUUGGUCCAAUUGCAUAAACAUGUGAUGAUCAGCUUCAGAGAAGUCAAAAGGAAAGUAGGAAAACCUCAGCACAACAUAUGCAACAUAACAUCUCAAGUAAACCUAUAGAAGUGACAUUUGAGAAACUUAAAAAAAAAGGAACAAGCUCAUCAGGGGCUUGGGAGCAUUGAUGUGAGGUCUUGACCUUCAGGGAAAUUCUCCGUGUCCUAGAAGUACCUAAAUGGAUGAAUAGAAAGUCACAAUAAGACAGAAGGCGACUAAAAUGUCACACCAAAGCAUGCUAAGAGCCAGUUCUUUUGGGCAAUUCUCCGAGAAUUGACCCCCUCCCCAGCUUCUCCCAGAAUUGCCACUCUAUAUUUUCUUACAAUUCCUAGCUAACUAGAUCUUAACUAGCUAGGAAUUGUAAAAAAAGAUGAAGUGGCAAUUCUAGGAGAAGCUGUGGAGGGGGUCAAUUCUCGGAGAAUUGCCCAAAAGAACUGGCCCUAAGUUGUUGUCCACCAGGUCUUUCACAGAUUGUUAUGUAUUAUAUUUCCUUCCCAUUAGUGUAUAAGGUUGUGCACGAAGGUCACCAAGGUAAGAACAUGCAGAAAUUAAAUCGAAGUUGGUCAGAUACGCAAAUAGCAUCCUAUAUUAGUAAACAGAGGUGCAUACUUCCAUUUAUCAGUAGAUUUCAACUUAUGUUUAUUUUUGUAUAAAGAAUAAUAAAUGUAUAUGUCUAGUAAAAAAACUAUAAAAUCAUGUACUACAUCAGUAAAAUCGAUACGAUCCAACGUAGCACAUGUUGUGAUAAUAUGCACAGCCGGUCGACAUAGAACCUAACUUGUGCUACAUCAUUUAGAUUAAAAAGGACGGGGAAGCUACUACAACUUCCUGUACUGGUCAUCUAAUACAAAUAAACAAUGCAAGAAAAGCCUCUUUUACUUAGACCAUACAUAACAACGAGAGAUGGGAUGGUGACCAUGUAAAAUAAAUUACCGGCAGUGGAGAUCAGCGACAAUCGUGACUCGUCACCAUAAAAGCCAUAAGCCCUCCCACACUCAUCAUACAUAAAUACACAAGAACAUAAGAAAAUAUAUUUUUUAGGAAAAAUGUUCAAAAAUACACAUUUUUUGCUUGUGAUGAUAUACAUGCAGCAGUUAAUGUAUUAUCCAUAAAACAAAGAAUGUAUGCCUCAUAUUAAUCAUCCUUUCACACAUAACUUAACAUGCAGCAAAAGGAUUUAAUCUAUAGUUCAAGAUCAAAAUGAAUGAGUCAUUUACAGUUAGGCAAUUAUUGAUUAUAAUGGAGUGUGAAGACAUCAUAUAUUUACUUGAUGGAAAUUGCAGUCAAGAAAAGCAUAGAAUGAGUCAAGUACCUUCUGGUUUGCCCAAUUUGCUUGUGGUCAUCAAAGGUGUUCUCGAGAUCAAACAACCAAGUAUGAACUCCCAAACUUCUGACCAAAUAGCAGGGUGUACACCUUAAACCACAGAGAAUAGAGAGCCGGCCCGUGUUAGAGAUUUAUAUGAGAGGUAGGCAAAAAAGUAAUGGUCUUAAAAUAAAAUGAGGGAUGUCUCAGAUAUCUUUACCCUUGUCAGAAUCCAGUUUAGAACAUAGGGAAUAUUUAGGGAGCCUUGUUGCAGAAAUAUAGCAUGCCAUUUUCAAUCACCCAAUGUUUUUCAAGCUGAAACUGAAC